GACGAACGCUGGCGGCGUGCCUAACACAUGCAAGUCGAACGGAGACUUUAGGAACGAGAAUUUCGGUUCAAGUUUUUAAUGUUCUUAGUGGCGGACGGGUGAGUAACGCGUGAGCAAUCUGCCUUUCAGAGGGGGAUACCAGUUGGAAACGACUGUUAAUACCGCAUAACAUAUCGAGAUCGCAUGAUAUUGAUAUCAAAGAUUUAUCGCUGAAAGAUGAGCUCGCGUCUGAUUAGAUAGUUGGUGAGGUAACGGCUCACCAAGUCGACGAUCAGUAGCCGGACUGAGAGGUUGGACGGCCGACAUUGGGACUGAGAUACGGCCCAGACUCCUACGGGAGGCAGCAGUGGGGAAUAUUGGGCAAUGGGGGAAACCCUGACCCAGCAACGCCGCGUGAAGGAAGAAGGCUUUCGGGUUGUAAACUUCUUUUGUCUAGGGACGAGUAGAAGACGGUACCUGACGAAUAAGCCACGGC
rnacentral:rRNA from 1 species